ensembl:lncRNA
UUUGGAAAUAAAAAAGUUGAGAGAAAGAGAAAAUUAAAUAAGUUUCUGCCCUUAAGGGGUUUAUCGGUGAGUGGGGAAAACAGAUAUUGAAACCACAUAAGAGUAAUAGAUGCCUAAAUAAGACACUGCAGAAUCAGUCUUGGAGAUCAAGAGGCAAAAGAGAUGAAUUCCAAUUUAAGGGAAAAACAAUGUUCACUUUGAUUUCCCUCUGGGAAAAACCCUAGCAAUAACUUAAGCACACCACACAGGGGCAGAAGCAGCUUGUUAUAAUUAGGAGGUAAUCCUCAAUGCGUUUGCACCUGUCUCUACUUGUAUGCUCAGUAAAAACAUGGAAAGAUAUUAUGUCCCCCACAUUUUUGAGUGCCUACUAUGCACCAGAAAAUUUACAGUUAAUCUUCUAGUGCAACUAAUCCUGUAAGGAAAUCUUAUCUGUGCCUCCAAUGCACUUUUUCCCUGUUCCUACACACCCCUCAGCUCCAGAGGUGACGUGACCUGUCCAAUUUACACGUAUGGUCAGCAGGGGAGUUGAGAUUCAAGCCCAUGUUGGACUCAAAAGUCUAUUUUUAUUCCUUUUAUUUCCUUUACUUUCUUUCCCUUUUCCUUUUUACACUUUUUAGAUUACACAAUAAUACAAGAAUACAUUCUCACUGUUAAUAAAAGCAUUCAAGACAAAAAACAUAUGUCACUCUCAAUGCCCACUCAAUCCCACUCCUCGCUCAAGAAUAAAUGCUUAUAUUAAUCUCCUCUAUCCCUUUCUAGAAUUCUGUCUAUGCAUUUGAAAACAUAGAGAUAUUUAUUUGAACACACAAAUGAGUUCACACUGAAUUAUUUAUUUCACUGAUGUGAUACAUUGAUCAACUUAAAAUGUAUCUUAUAUUGACAUAUUACGUUUGAAAUUUGAUGCCGUAUAGGGUUUGCUGCGAAAUAAUCCCCCAGAGCAUUAUGACUUUGGGGCAUGUGACCUGUGCAGGCACAUGGAGCCCAUGCUUGGUGAGUCCUGCACUUUAACAUUCUGCUGUUGCCAUCUCAAAAUUUUUGGCUCCACAUUUUAUUUUUUCACUAAGCCAUUCAAAUUGUGCAGUUGAUCCUGCUACCAGGCUAGUAAGUGUCAAGUAUCAAGUAACUGGUAGAAUAAACAGUAAACUUCAAGAUAGUUCCACUGAUAUUAUCUAUUCUGAAGAAAAGAAAGAAAAAUGUUUUUUUUUAAAAGAGAAAUUUUAAUAAACAGAGUUUCAGAGACCUGUCAUCAGACAUACCAAUAUACACAUAACGGGGGUUUCAGAAGAGGAAAGAAACAGAAGAGCAGAAAAUAUAUUUGAAGAUGUAAUGGACCAAAACUUGUUAAAAUUUGAAGAAAAACAUUAAGAUGCCCAUCCGAAAAACUUAACUCCACAGGAGAGAAACUUUCCGCACCUAGACACUUUAUAAUCUGACUUUCAACAUCCAAAGACAAAGAGAAAACCUUGAAAGCAGAAAAAACAAGCGACCCAUCAUGUGCAAGAAAGAGUCUCAGUAAUUUUAGCAGCUGAUUCCUCAUCACAUAUAUGGAAAUUAAACAACCUACUCCUAAAUAAUUAAUGGAGCAAAGAAUAAAUCACAAGCAAAAUUAAGAAUUACUUUGAGGAGUUCUCAUUGUGGCUCAGUGGAUUAUAAAACCGACUAGUAACCAAAAAGAUGCAGGUUUGAUCCAUGGCUUCAUUCAGUGGGUUAAGGAUCUGGCGUUGCCACAAGCUGCAUAGUAGGUCUCAAGCUGCAUAGUAGGUCUCAGAUGCGGCUUGGAUCCCAUUGCUGUGGCUGUGGGGUAGGCUGGCAGCUGCAGCUCUGAUUUGACCCCUAGCCCCAGGGAAAUUCCAUAUGCCACAGAUGCAGCCCUAAAAAGAAAAAAUCUGUUUUGAAAGGAAUGAAAAAAGAAACAUAAGACCCCAAAAUUUAUAGGACAUAGCUUAAAUAGUGCUAGAGGGAAAUUUAUAGCUCUAAAUGCCUAUUUUGUCAAAAAGAGAGAUCACAAGUCAAUAAUUUAUUUACACCUGAAGAUGCAAAGCGAACUAAACUCAGAGCAAGUAGGAAAAAAAAAGAAAUAACAAAAAUUAGAAAGUUAGUGAGAUACAGACUAGAGAAAUAAUAGAAAAGUUAAUGAAACCUAAAGCUGUUCUUUGAAGAGAUUAACAAAGUUGACAAACUUUCAGCUAAACUGAUAGGGAAAAAAGAUGAAUUACUAAAAUCAGAAACAGCAAGAGAAGAAACAUUAUUGCUGACUUCUGAGAAAUAAAAAAAGAAAACUUAGAUGGGAAUACUACAAACAAUUUUAUGCUAACAAAUUAGAUAACCUAGGUGAAACUGACACAGGUUUAAUCUUUGCAGCCUUGGACUAGGCAAUAUUUUCUUAGAUAUGACGCCAAAAGCACAAGCAAUAGAGAAAAAAAUAGAUAAACAUGGGUAUAUCAAAAGUAGGUACUUUUGUGCUAUGAACGAUACUAUCAAGAAAGUGAAAAGAUAACCCACAGAAUGGGAGAAAACAUUUGCAAAUCAUAUAUCUGAUAGAGGACUGUAACUAGAAUAAAUAGCUUUUGCCAUUCAACAAUAAAAUGACGUUUUAAAAGGGGCAAAAGAGGAGUUCCCGUUGUGGCUCAGUGGUGAUGAACCCGACAAGCAUCCGUGAGGACUCAGGUAUGAUCCCUGGCCUUGCUCCGUGGGUUGGGGAUCCAGAGUUGCUGUGAGCUGUGGUGUAGGUCGCAGACGUGGCUCAGAUCCUGUGUUGUGAUGACUGUGGCCUAGUAUGGCAGCUGCAGCUCCUAUUCGCCCCCUAGCUUGGGAACUUCCAUAUGCCGCAGGUGUGGCCCUAAAAAGGAAAAAAUAAAAUGGGCAAAAGAUUUUAAUAGGCACUUCUCCAGUGAAGAUAUACAAAUGGUCAAGAAGCAGAUGAAAAAGAGUUAACAUCAUUCGCCGUUAAGUAAAUGUAAAUCACAGUGAGGUAACAUUUCAUAUCCAUUAGAAUGAUGAGAGUCAACAAACAGAAAAUAAUAAGUGUUAGUGGGGUCGUAGAAAAAUUGGAACCCUUAUGUACUGCUGGUGAAAUUACAGAAUGGCACAGCCACUUUGGAAAACAAUUUGGCAGUUCAAAAAGUUAAGUAUACAGUUACCUUAAGAGCCAGCAAUUCCACUCCAAGAGACCUAAAAACAUAUCUCCAUACAACAAUUUGUACAUAGACUUCAAAGCAGAAUUAUUUAUAAUAGACAAAAAAAUGACAAAACCAAAUAUCCAUCAAUCGAUAAGGUGGAUAAACACAGCAUGAUGUAUCCAUACAGUGGAAUAAUUUUAGCCUUAAGAAGGAAUAAAAUACCUGCUACAAUGCUGAUGAACCUUGAAAAAAAGUAAACCAAGUAAAAGAAACCAGACACAAAAGACCACAUAUGGUGUGAGUCUAUUAAUAUGAAAUGCCCUGAAUAGGCAAGUCCAUAGAAAGAGAAAAUGGAUUAGUUGUGGACACACAAUGGGAGAGACAGAAAAUCAGGAAUAAGUGCUAAUAGAUAUGGGGCUUCUUACAGGUAUGACCAAAAUGUUCUGGAAUUAGAUAGUGCUAGUUAUUUCUCUGUAGAUGCACUAAAAAAACACUUUAAAAACAUUUUAAAAUAGUAAAAAUUUUAAGAUAUGUGAGUUAUAGCUCAAUUUAAAAACCUGUAUAGUGACUUAUUUGUUAUUAACAAAAAAAGAAAAAAAAAGAUAAAAAGAAAGCAAAAGAAACUACCUUGAGCUGGGCAUGGGUAAACAAACUGGUAAUACAUGCAGUGAAACACUCUGCAGCACUAAAAAGAAAGUGAACUGUUGAGAUACACAACAUGGUUUAUCUCAAAUGUGUUAUGCAAAGUGAAAGGAGACAGACUCUGAGACAUAAGGUAUUGUAUAAUUCCAUCUCUAUGACAACCUUACAAAGACAAAACUUUUUAAUGCAAAGACUUGUCUCCAGCAUCAUUUGCCCUGUUCCAUGCCUUGAAUUGGCUGAUAUAUAUCCUUUGGGGGGCUCUUUUUUCUUGCUUUCCGACAAUCUUUUUUCAGGAGGUGGCUGAUAGAUUUUGUGCUAAAGCUACCCAGGAUUUUUUCUUGGCACAGUAUUGAUAUUUUUUGAGCAGUGCUGGACAGCCUCAACUAUCCCAAUCGAUGGCUUUCUUGACUGAUUCAUGCAGGGUUUUUUGGUAUGUGUAUCUAAUUGGAAACCCUCGGGAAGCACUGGUUUCCCAAAGUGCUGUAAAUACCUUUUUUAUAUAUAUAUACAUAGUUAGCUGUGGAGUCGUGAAACUAUAAGGGGAGAAGGCGUGGAUGAAGUUAUUGACUGUGGAGGUGUCAGUGUCUAGCACAGUGUCUGGCGAGUUGUAGGUGUGAAGUAAAUGUUGCAUAUAAAAUCCCUCCAGGUCAUUCGGUGGAAUCCAGCCAGCCAAUUCGAGUAUUUAUACACACAAGCUUUGGAAUCAGACAUCUGUCUGCUGUAGCCCUUGUCUUACUCCGUGCUGAGAUCCUUUUCUGAGCACUAGAACGACACGCCUGUCUGCCUACCGGACAUCUCCAGACUGGGAAAGCCAAUCAUGACACGCCUCAACUGCAACAUGCUUAAAGAUGGACUCAAGCUUCCUCCUUUCGGUACCUCCUCCAGGGUCCUCCCAUCAGGAAAUGAUAAAAAUACCCACCUGGUUGGCCAAACCAGAACCUGGGCAUAAUCAUUCUGGAUCACUCUCACACAUUCAAUCAAUUUCCUGUCCUGUUGAUUCCAGCUCCUAACAAUCUCUUAUAAAUGCUUUUGGAAUCUGCUGAUUUUAUCUAGCCCAUCAUCACACCCAAGUCCAGUCUCCAUCUUAAAAUGACUAUAACCUGUUCCAAACUUCUCUCUAAACUUCAGUAGCUCCUUCAAACCAUUAUCCAAUUGGUGGUGCUAUCUUUUGAUCAAUACCCUUCAACACCAUCUUUAGAAUAAAGCCCAACUUUCAUGUGGCUUCCCCAUCUGCCUUGAUCUGUCCCUUGUCUGCCUCCCCAGGCUCACUCCUCACCUCUCUAUCCUCCCUCCCUCCUUCUCUGCCCUCACCCUAUUCAUUCUUAGUCAUCUUUAGGGUCUCAAUAGAUAUUUCUUUCUUUCAGAAGCUUUUGCUACCUUCCCAAUUUGGGGCUAUUCACCUGCCCUUCAAGUUCCUGUAACACCCGGCACAUUAACAAUUAUUUGCUUGUUUCAUUAUCUGGCUUUUCCACUUGACUAUGAACUCAAUGAGGGCAGAGGGCACAGCUAUGGUCUUAAGCAUUUUGCCUCCAGAAGUUACCACAAUUCCUACCAGGUA